GUAAAAAAGUUUAGUUUUUUUCCCCUCUAUAUACCAAACCGAACCUAUUACAAAGAAAGGUGGUGGGUAUAACUCCGGCCACCGAUUUUAGCGGAGAAAACGUUGAGUCUCAACGUCCAUUAAGAGGUGGUCGGAUUUUUGUAGCAUUUUAUCGCCGGAUUGCGUUUAUAAGGAUUUUAUCGGAAGUGACUUUAUCGGAAGUCAAGUACAUAAUUUUUGGUAUAAGG